rnacentral:rRNA from 1 species
UGGGGAAUAUUGCACAAUGGGCGCAAGCCUGAUGCAGCCAUGCCGCGUGUAUGAAGAAGGCCUUCGGGUUGUAAAGUACUUUCAGCGAGGAGGAAGGCGAUGCGGUUAAUAACCGUGUCGAUUGACGUUACUCGCAGAAGAAGCACCGGCUAACUCCGUGCCAGCAGCCGCGGUAAUACGGAGGGUGCAAGCGUUAAUCGGAAUUACGGGGCGUAAAGCGCACGCAGGCGGUCUGUCAAGUCGGAUGUGAAAUCCCCGGGCUCAACCUGGGAACUGCAUUCGAAACUGGCAGGCUUGAGUCUUGUAGAGGGGGGUAGAAUUCCAGGUGUAGCGGUGAAAUGCGUAGAGAUCUGGAGGAAUACCGGUGGCGAAGGCGGCCCCCUGGACAAAGACUGACGCUCAGGUGCGAAAGCGUGGGGAGCAAACA